UACGAAGGGGGCUAGCGUUGCUCGGAAUUACUGGGCGUAAAGGGUGUGUAGGCGGAUACUUAAGUCGGGGGUGAAAGCCCAGGGCUCAACCCUGGAAUAGCCUUCGAUACUGGGUAUCUUGAGUUCGGGAGAGGUAAGUGGAACUCCGAGUGUAGAGGUGAAAUUCGUAGAUAUUCGGAAGAACACCAGUGGCGAAGGCGACUCACUGGCCCGAUACUGACGCUGAGGCGCGAAAGCGUGGGGAGCAAACAGG
rnacentral:rRNA from 1 species